AACAGGAUUAGAUACCCUGGUAGUCCACGCCGUAAACGAUAAUCACUAGAUGUUGGCCUGGUUUUCCGGGUCAGUGUCGUAGCUAACGCGUUAAGUGAUUCGCCUGGGGAGUACGGUCGCAAGACUAAAACUUAAAGGAAUUGACGGGGGUCCGAACAAGCGGUGGAACAUGUGGUUUAAUUCGACACUACGCGAGAAACCUUACCUGGGUUUGACAUACUUGAGACAGCUCUAGAGAUAGAGUCUUCUGGGCGAAAGUUCAGACUGAAGAACAGGUGCUGCAUGGCUGUCGUCAGCUCGUGUCGUGAGAUGUUGGGUUAAGUCCUUUAACGAGCGCAACCCUUGUUGCUAGUUGCUACUUGCUUUGCAAGGCACUUUAGUGAGACUGCCUGGGAAACCAGGAGGAAGGUGGGGAUGACGUCAAGUCAGCAUGGUCCUUAUGUCCAGGGCUACACACGUGUUACAAUGGUUGAUUACAACGGGGCGCAAUUCCGCAAGGAGGAGCAAAUCCUUAAAAUCAAUCUAAGUUCAGAUUGAGGUCUGCAAUUCGACCUCAUGAAGUUGAAAUCGCUAGUAAUCGCGUAUCAGAACGGCGCGGUGAAUACGUUCUCGGGCCUUGUACACACCGCCCGUCACGCCAUGAGAGUUGCUUAUGCCCAAAGUUGUUUUAGCUAACCUGCAAAGGAGGCGAAUACCUAAGGUGUGGGUGAUGAUCGGGGUGAAGUCGUAACAAGGUAACC
rnacentral:rRNA from 1 species